UUCGGCAAGCAAUUUUUUGAUGAAAAUCACGAUAAAAACCUACAAUUCGUAACAGCGAGUCAACCUAGCUUUCCAGUUAUCGGCUCCUACGAGGAAAGAUAUUAACUAUAAACUAUGUACGAAAGAACUCUUUGUUGGCUGCGUUUGAACGUUUUUAAACGUCGUGUCUAAUGUACAUGUGGACGAUGUGGACGAUGUGGACGAUGUGGUCUCUUUUCAAGGUUAAAAGACUCUUGGUGAAAAGACAAAAGUAUCAUGAGAGAGCUGAUGGGCAUAUAUCAUAUAUGAAUGAGAACAGUAUUGUAUACAAAGCACUGUUUACCUUCUUUAUUUUUUUGGUUUUCAGAAUUGGAGCCACCUCAAAUAGUAGUAGAUUUUUAGCACAUUUUGAUGCAUUGUUGUAUUGUGUAAUAAAGCAAAAAACAAUCAUUAAACAGUAUAACCAUUUUUGGCUAAAUACACACUUGCAUUUUCGUUA